rnacentral:rRNA from 1 species
AGUUUGAUCCUGGCUCAGGAUGAACGCUAGCUACAGGCUUAACACAUGCAAGUCGAGGGGCAGCAUGGUCUUAGCUUGCUAGGGCCGAUGGCGACCGGCGCACGGGUGAGUAACACGUAUCCAACCUGCCGUCUACUCUUGGACAGCCUUCUGAAAGGAAGAUUAAUACAAGAUGGCAUCAUGAGUCCGCAUGNUCACAUGGUUAAAGGUAUUCCGGUAGACGAUGGGGAUGCGUUCCAUUAGAUAGUAGGCGGGGUAACGGCCCACCUAGUCUUCGAUGGAUAGGGGUUCUGAGAGGAAGGUCCCCCACAUUGGAACUGAGACACGGUCCAAAUCCUACGGGAGGCAGCAGUGAGGAAUAUUGGUCAAUGGGCGAGAGCCUGAACCAGCCAAGUAGCGUGAAGGAUGACUGCCCUAUGGGUUGUAAACUUCUUUUAUAAAGGAAUAAAGUCGGGUAUGGAUACCCGUUUGCAUGUACUUUAUGAAUAAGGAUCGGCUAACUCCGUGCCAGCAGCCGCGGUAAUACGGAGGAUCCGAGCGUUAUCCGGAUUUAUUGGGUUUAAAGGGAGCGUAGAUGGAUGUUUAAGUCAGUUGUGAAAGUUUGCGGCUCAACCGUAAAAUUGCAGUUGAUACUGGAUAUCUUGAGUGCAGUUGAGGCAGGCGGAAUUCGUGGUGUAGCGGUGAAGUGCUUAGAUAUCACGAAGAACUCCGAUUGCGAAGGCAGCCUGCUAAGCUGCAACUGACAUUGAGGCUCGAAAGUGUGGGUAUCAAACAGGAUUAGAUACCCUGGUAGUCCACACGGUAAACGAUGAAUACUCGCUGUUUGCGAUAUACUGCAAGCGGCCAAGCGAAAGCGUUAAGUAUUCCACCUGGGGAGUACGCCGGCAACGGUGAAACUCAAAGGAAUUGACGGGGGCCCGCACAAGCGGAGGAACAUGUGGUUUAAUUCGAUGAUACGCGAGGAACCUUACCCGGGCUUAAAUUGCAGAUGAAUUACGGUGAAAGCCGUAAGCCGCAAGGCAUCUGUGAAGGUGCUGCAUGGUUGUCGUCAGCUCGUGCCGUGAGGUGUCGGCUUAAGUGCCAUAACGAGCGCAACCCUUGUUGUCAGUUACUAACAGGUUCCGCUGAGGACUCUGACAAGACUGCCAUCGUAAGAUGUGANGAAGGUGGA